rnacentral:rRNA from 3 species
UUAAAUUGAAGAGUUUGAUCAUGGCUCAGAUUGAACGCUGGCGGCAGGCUUAACACAUGCAAGUCGAACGGUAACAUGAGUGCUUGCACUUGAUGA